rnacentral:rRNA from 1 species
CCUACGGGGGGCAGCAGUGGGGGAUAUUGCACAAUGGGGGGAACCCUGAUGCAGCGACGCCGCGUGGAUGAAGAAGCGCCUCGGCGCGUAAAGCCCUGUCAGCAGGGAAGAAAAUGACGGUACCUGAAGAAGAAGCCCCGGCUAACUACGUGCCAGCAGCCGCGGUACUACGGAGGGGGCAAGCGUUAUCCGGAUUUACUGGGUGUAAAGGGGGCGCAGGCGGCAUUGCAAGCCAGCAGUGAAAGGCCGGGGCCCAACCCCGGGACUGCUCUGGGAACUGGGUGGCUGGAGUGCAGGAGGGGCAGGCGGAAUUCGUGGUGUAGCGGUGAAAUGCUUAGAUAUCAGGAGGAACCCCGGUGGCGAAGGCGGCCUGCUGGACUGCAACUGACGUUGAGGCCCGAAAGCGUGGGGAGCGAACAGGAUUAGAUACCCGAGUAGUC